rnacentral:lncRNA from 1 species
GUUUCCAUCUUGCUAUUAUUCCACGGGGCCCAGUACAUAAUCGCCACUCAGUGUUUAUGCAGAUCACGCUUGAACACUGCCAGUAACAGGGUCCUCACUAUCCAUGACAACUCACUUCCACAUAGCCCUGCUUGUUAAGAGUUCAUUCAUUCAUUCCGCAGAUGUUUUUGGAGUGCCUACUGAGUGCCACUCACUGCUCCAGGGGUUGGGAUACUAAGGUGUGCCUAACAGACCAAAUCUCUGCCUCCAUUAAGUUUACAUUCUGUGGAAAAUAAUAGCUACCACAUUCUAGAGUCUGUACUAGUAUUUUAUAUGCAUCAUUAUCUUCACUCCACCUAUACAGCUUUGCCAGGCAGGCAUUAUUAGCUCCACUUUACAGAGAAAGAAACUGAGGCACUAAGAGCUCCAGGAUUGUCCACCUCACACUGUUAGUCUGUUAGUGAUGAGGCUUGGACUUCUGCGUAGAUCCGUGCUCCUUUCCACAGUAACACCUUAUGUGACAAAAUUAGACAGAUCCUAGGAUGGCUAUGAUAAUUUUUUAAAAGGAAAAACAACUGUUGGUAAGGAAAUGGAGAAACUGAGAUCCUCACACACUGUUAGGGAUAUUAUCCAGCCUUAAAAAGGAAUGAAAUUCUGAUAUAUUUGACAACAUAGAUGAAGCCUGAAAACAUUUCUAAGUAAAAGAAACCAGACACAAAGGGACAAAUAUUUUAUGAUUCUAUUUAUGUAAGAUACCUAGAAAAGGCAAAUUCAUGGAGACAGAAAGCAGAAUAGAGGAUACUAGGAGCUGGGGUCAGGGAGUAUGAGGAGUUAUUGCUUGGUAGGUACAGAGUUUCUGUUUGGUGUGAUGAAAAAGUUUUGGAAAUAGAUAGUGGUGAUGGUUGUACAAUAUUGUGAGUAUAGAUCUUUCACCAUGAUCAGAUGGGAUUCAUCCCAGGGAUGCAAGGAUGGUUCAACAUGCACAAAUCAAUAUGCAUGACACAUCAUAGUAACAGAACCAAGAGCAAAAACCAUAUAUGAUCAUUUCAAUAGACCCUGAAAAAGCUUUCUAAAAAAAUUCAACAUCGUGUUAUAAAAGCCCUAAAAUAUUGGGUAUAGAGGCAACAUACCUUAAAAUAAUAAACGCUAUCUAUGACAAACUCACAGCUAACAUUGUAAUAAAUGGAGAAAAAUUGAAAGCCUUUCCUCUAAGAUCUGGAACAAGACAAGGAUGCCCACUUUUACCACUUUUAUUCCAUGUAGUAUUGGGAGUUCUGGCCAGAGCAAUUAGGCAAGAGAAGGAAAUGAAGGGCAUCCAAACUGGAAAUGAAGAAGUCAGAUUAGCCUUGUUUGCAGAUGGCAUGGUCUUCUACUUAGAAAAAUCUAAAGACUCCAUGGGGCGUGGUGGCUUACACUUGUAAUCCUAACACUUUGGGAAGCUGAGGUGGUUGGAUUGCUUGAGGCCAGGAGUUCGACACCAGCCUGGGCAAUACAGUGAGAUCCUGUCUCUCUCUUAAAAAAAAAAAAAAGGCCGGGCACAGUGGCUUAUACCUGUAAUCCCAGCACUUUGGGAGGCCGAGGUGGGCAGAUCAUCUGAGGUCAGGAGUUUGAGACCAGCCUGGCCAACACGGUGAAAUGCUGUCUCUACUAAAAAUACAAAAAAAAAAAAAAUUAGCCAGGUGUGGUGGCAGGUGCCUGUAAUCCCAGCUAACUUGGGAGGCUGAGGCAGGAGAAUCACUUGAACUCGGGAGGCGGAGGUUGCAGUGAGCUGAGAUCGUGCCAUUGCACUCCAGCCUGGGCGAUAAAAGCAAGACUCCUCCUCCUCCUCAAAAAAAAAAAAAAAAAAAAAAGGGACUCCAACAAAAAACCGUUAGAGUUGAUGAAUGAAUUCAGUAAAGUUGCAGGAUAAUUCAACAUACAAAACCCAGUAGCAUUUGUAUACGCUAACAGCAAACAAUCUGAAAAAGAAGUUGAGUGCAAUCCCAUUUCCAACAGCUACAAAGAAUGUAAAAUACCUAAGAAUCGAUGUAACCAAAGUGAAAGAUCUAUACAAGAAAAACUAUAAAACUGAUGAAAUAAAUUGAAGAGGAUGCAAAAAAAUGGAGAGAUAUCCCAUGCUAUGUAUUGGAAAAAUUAAUAUUGUUAAAAUAACAAUAUUACCCAAAGCAAUUUAUAGAUUUGGUGCAAUCUCUGUCAAAAUAGCAAAGGCAUUCUUCAUAGAUAUAGAAAAAAAAUCCUAAAAUUUAUACGGAACUACAAAAGACCUCAAAUAGCCAAAGUAAGCCUGAGUAAAAAGAACGAAGCUGGAGGCAUCACAUUUCCUGACUUCAAAAUACACUACGAACUGGCCACGGUGGUACACACCUAUAGCCCCAGCUAUUCAGGAGGCUGAAGCAGGAGGAUCCCAUGAGCCCAAGGAGACUGAGGCUGCAGUGACCUAUGAUCAUACCACUGCACUCCAGCCUGGACACCAGAGAAAAAUCCUGUCUCUAAAAUAAAACAAAAAAACAAAAUGUAGUACAAAGCUAUAGUAACCAAAUCAGCAUAGUACUGGCAUAAAAAGAGACACAAAGACCAAUGGAACAGAAUAGAUAACCUAGAUAUAAAUCCAUGCAUUUACAGAGAACUCAUUUUUGACAAAGGCUCCAGGAACACACAAUGGGGAAAGAACAGUCCUUUCAAUAAAUGGUUCUGGGAAAACUAAAUAACCACAUGCAGAUGAAUGAAACUAGACCCCUAUCUCUCACCAUAUAAAAAAAUCAAAUAAAAAUGGAUUAAACAUUUAAAUGUAAGACCUGAAACUAUGAAACUACUAGAAGAAAACAUUGGAGAAAUAUUCCAGGACAUUGGUCUGGGCAAAGAGAUUUUUUGUGGAAGACCUCAAAAGCAUAGGCAACCAAACCAAAAAUAGAAAAAUGGGAUUAUGUCAAGCUAAAAAGCUUCAGGACAGCCAUGGAAACAAUCAACAAAGUGAAGAGACAACCCACAGAAUAGGAGAAAAUAUUUGCAAAGUAUCAAUCUGACGAGGGAUUAAUAACCAGAAUAUAUAAGGAGCUCAAACAACUCUGUAACAAAAAACCAAAUAAUCCAGUUUAAAAAUGGGCAAAAGAUCUGAAUAGAUAUUUCUCAAAAGAAGACAUACAAAUGGUCAACAGAGAUAUGAAAAAAUGCUCAAUGUCACUAAUCAUCAGAGAAAAGCAAAUCAAAAUUAAAUGAGAUAUCAUUUCAUCCCAGUUAAAAUGGCUUUUUACAAAAAAAAUAGAGAACAUCUUUUUUUUUUUUUUUUUUUUGAGAUAGAGUUUCACUCCUGUCACCCAGGCUGAAGUGCAAUGGUGCAAUCUUGACUCACUGCAACCUCCAUCUCCAGGUUCAAGCGAUUCUCCUGCCUCAGCCUCCUGAGUAGCUGGGAUUACAGGCGCCCACCACCAUGCCCGGCUGAUUUUUGUAUUUUUAGUAGAGAUGGGGUCUCACCAUGUUGGCCAGGCUGGUCUCAAACUCCCAACCUCAGGUGAUCCACCAGCCUCGGCCUCCCAAAGUGCUGGGAUUACAGGCAUGAGCCACUGCGCCUGGCCAAGAAUAUCUUUUCUGUAAAAAGAUGCUGGAGAAGACGUGGAGAAAGGGGAACCCUGAUAAACUGUUAGUGGGAAUAUAAAUUAGUACAGCUACUAUGGAAAACUGUAUGAAGGUUCCUCAAAAAACUAAAAAUAGAACUAUCAUAUGAUCUAGAAGUUCCACUGCUGGGUAUAUAUCUAAAAGAAAGUAAACCAAUAUAUUGAAGAGAUAUCUGCCUUCCCAUGUUUACUGCAGAGAUAUUCAUAAUGGCCAAAAUAUGAAAUCAACCUAAGUGCCCAGAAGUGGAUAAAUAGAUUAAGAAAAUGUGAUAUAUAUAAUAUUAUUCAGCCAUAAAAAGAAUGAAAUCUUGUCAUUUGCAACAACAUAGAUGGCACCAUAGGUCAUUUUGUUAAGUGAAUAAGCCAAACACAGAAAAACAACUAUCGCAUGUUCUCACUUACAUGUGGGAGCUAAAAAAGUGGAUCACAUGAAGAUAGAGAGUAUAUUAGUGGUACCAGAGGCCAGGAAGUGUGGGGGGAGGACAAAGAGAGGUUGAUGAAUGGGUAUAAACAUACAGUUUGACAGGAAAAAUAAGACCUAGGAUUCAAUAGAUCAGUAGGGUGGCUACAGUUUACAAUAAUCUAUUGUAUAUUUCAAAAUAGAAGAGAAUAAUUUGAAUGUUUCUAGCAUAAAGAAAUAUUUGAGGUAAAGGAUACCUAAUGACAUGAUUUGAUUUUUAUAAAAUAUAUGAAUGUAUUAAAUUAUCACAUGUACCCUGAAAAUAUGUACAUCUGUUAUAUAUCAAAAGAAUUUUUUAAUUUCAUGAAUGUAUUUAAUGCCACUGAAUUGUACGCUUAAAAUAGUUAAAAUGGGAAGUUUCAUGUUACACACACAUAUAUACAUAUUAUUUAAAAUAGUAAAGACGCUUGUGUUUUAAGCCUCUAAAAUAGUGAUGAACACAAGGGAGGAAACAGAAGGGGAAGACAGAGGAGAGGGGUAUGGAAGGAGAAUAGGGAAGUACAGAGUUGCUAAAGGGAAUGGAAUAUGGGUGAAGAAGAAAAACCUUUAAAAGGGAUUUUUAGAAAGAUUUGCUGUGUAGUAUAGAUAUAAGCCACUUCCUCUGAAAUCUUGAGCAAAUUCCAUAUUAUUCACCAAUUACUUUGGUGCUUGAGUUGCAGUUUUAGUUUUAAGUGCUGACGUGGAUGAGAAUGGCCUUGAGGCAUCCGGAUAUAUUUGGGUCACACUAAUCUAAGCAGGAAUUUGUGUCACUGUGGCUUUUCUCCAUUUGCCCCUCUCCUGACCCCCUUGUCUUCUCAUGCCCCUGAGGACACUCUGGGCCCUGAGAUGUCCUCCACCCCCAUCCUGCCCCUCACCUCCACGCAGCAGUGUGCAUCCAGCGGGAUAAUGCCCCUUUUCUCUUUGCACUCUUCACUCCCAAAGUAGCAGAGGCAGCUGGGCUGCAGCUGGAACCAGCGUUCGGCCCAGUUCCUUCUCAGGUGCCCUCGCUUCCACAGGUAGCCCUGCCAGCCGGAGUUACGUCAGAGGCUUCCCAGGCCCCCCUUCGCCCUGCACCUUGUGUGCUUCCCCUAGUUCCCAGCUUGCCUGACCUGCUUCAGGACAUCUUGGAUGAGCUCCUGGUAGACCUCGUGGAUGGCCAUGCUGAGGGUGUCCCGGCCCACGCCCCGCAGAAGCUCCUCCAGCUCACCCAAGCUCACCUCCAAGCUCAUGCUGCUGAGUACCUUUUUCAGCAGGUAUUCCACCUGGAGCAGGAGAAGGAAGGCCUGGUAGCUGCAGCAGGUGGUGUUGCCAGCACCAACACCAGGGAGUGCUCUAUCUGGCUCCCAGAGCCUGGGCAGAGGGAAACAGGGGACAGAGCGUUGAGGGGGCCAGAGGACCGAAUGUUAUGGAGCCAGGGAAAAGACCUGGGAGAGGAUCCUGGAGCCCCAACCCCAACUCAGGUUUUCUCUCCCCGUCCACAACCUCCAGUCCCACUCCUUCCUGUCUUAAGGGCAAGGUGAAGGGGACCUGAGAUCUGGGGUCCAGAAAGAGGCAAUAAAUCACAGAAAGUGUCAAGGGAGUGCAAAGGCCCUCUCAUCCAAUCACUCAUUUUGCAGAUGACCAAAAAAAAGCCCAAAGGGGGAAGUGACUGGCUCUAAGUCACACAGCAAACUGGGGGCAGCCAGAACCCGAUUCUGAUCUCCUGAAUCCCAUUCAGGUCCUUAUUCCAAGCCCCAAUCCCCAACCCUGGGGAUCUUUCCCUUGUGGGAGAGGAAGGGGAUUUGGGGUAGGGGUAGGCGUUGGGGAGUGGGGAGUAGAGGUAAGCUGGGCAGGGACAGGAAACCUGUUACAGAGGAACCGGAAGUGGUGGCUGGGGUACAUCCUGCUGCAGUUGUUAACUCUGUAUGUUGAUCGCAGAAGCAAACAACCUCCUGGCCUCCGAGGCCACCUUGCCCUGACUGGCAGGGGUCUAACAAGGGCAGCCAGCCAAGUGUAUGUGCAGAUGGACACAUGUCCCUCACCUGCCCCAGCAGCUUUUUGGGACACUCUGUUUAGGACUUUCUGGGGGAUCCUGGGUCUUGUUUGGGUGUUUAGUAGAGGGCACUGGUUCAGGGCUCGGGUGGUUCCCUUCAUCACCCUUCCCACAAACAGAAGCCAGGACAAAUGUGAGUGGAGCUUGACAUGCUAGGGCUUCUUGUAAGUACAGAAGCCCCCUCUCCUGUAAACCCCACUCUAAAGACCUAAAGUCACCCUGGCAUCUCCACAGCCACCAAGAGGACUAAAGGGUCACAAGGCCAAAUGGGCAGGGGAGGGAAGUGAGGAUAAGAGGGAGGGUACAGGUGGAUGGGAAAAUGCCUUCCCUGGCUUCACCCAGGAGUAAGGAGAUAGGGACCAGAUUCCCAGCCUUUUCUCCCAGGAUGCCCUAUCCCUGGGUCUCUUAGCUGAGUUUGUCCUGGCUUUCCAGAAGAAAGGCAGAAAGGGAAAAUCUGGAACCAGAGUAACCUCCUGUCUCAGAAAGGUCUCCCCUUGCCUUGUAAAGCAUCCUUCCUGUCCUGGAAGAAGUGGCAAAAGGUAAAGGAAAAAAAAGCACCCUUCCUAGAUUGCCAGUAAUGCUCAGUAAUGUAUCUGGCAUUUAGACCUCUGUGUAAACAGAAUUUGCAGAUCAUUUUCCUACAGUGAGGACCAGCAGAACCCUCAUGAAAGUGUAAUUUCAGUUUUCCUGGAAGAAGGCAAAAUUACUCUGACACAGGCAGUUCUAGGCAUCUGGAGACAGCUGGGUGAGGACAGAUACCAGCAUGGGAAGAUGGUAAAGAAAGAAAGGGGAUAUGGGAAGGCACCAAAGGUGGUUUGGUCUCAUUCAUGGUUUUGCUUAGGUCUGGUCCCAAGUGAUUCAGUCCCUGGGGCUGCCAUCACCCUCACCUCAUCAGGAACCAUGAUCAGAGGGUACUUGUCCUCAGACAGGAAGUUGAAGAGGCACCAGAGGCGGAAGGCAUCCUGAUUGGAGAGCAUACUGUUCCCGUUGCUAUCUGCCCGAUAGUUCUUCUUGGCCGUCAGCGUCCAGCACAGCUCAUCAAAGUGCUCUUUAACAAAAGCCCCCUCCUCCACCUGCCACCAGGGCUGCAAAUCAGCUGACUGCAUAUCUCAGCUCUACCACGACACUAGGCUCCAGCUGGGUUUCUUGGGUUCAUCUAUGCCCCUGCUCCCCACCUGGCCAAGUCCAGGGCCCUAACUCAAGGGAUCCCUGAGCUGAUUACCAGGUAACUAGCUGGUUCCAACCACUCCACCCUCCACAACACACCCACACCCACCCAGGCCCCCUGACAACAGAUUAACUCUAGUCUUUCAGCCCAGAGGACAAAGAAGGAGAAACCCAGCAGGAAGCUAAGAGCCAAGAACCUGGAAACACAGUGACAGAUUGGAGGAGUUGGAGGGGGAGUUCAGGGGGACAGUCUGGGAAGGGUGGAGAACCCUGGAAGCUGGAGGAGGGCCGGGCAGGGAUUCGGUGGAAGGUUAUGGGUAGGGUGGGGCCCACCUCAUUAGAGAUGAGGGACAUUGAAGGUGAAUUGAGGGGGACAGGAAGGGGGCAGGUGGCUGGGAUGUGAGGGACGUGAUGGGACAGCAGUCACGGACAGAGCAGGCAGAAGUAGGAGUUUAUGGCAGGGGCGAAGAGUUGGAGUGGCAAGGUAUUAGGCUGCUGGCCAGGCUGGAAAAGUGGGGAGAGGUUACAGAUGCUCCCUACAAGCUGGGCCCCACCUUGUCCAGGAUGUACUUGUUGAGGUAGGGCAUGUAUCCCUGGCUGGACACAGGGCCGUCA